GAUGAAGGAACGCAGCGAAAUGCGAUAAGUAAUGUGAAUUGCAGAAUUCAGUGAAUCAUCGAAUCUUUGAACGCACAUUGCGCCCGCCAGUAUUCUGGCGGGCAUGCCUGUCUGAGCGUCAUUUCAACCCUCAUGCCCCUAGGGCGUGGUGUUGGGGAUCGGCCAAAGCCCGCGAGGGACGGCCGGCCCCUAAAUCUAGUGGCGGACCCGUCGUGGCCUCCUCUGCGAAGUAGUGAUAUUCCGCAUCGGAGAGCGAUGAGCCCCUGCCGUUAAACCCCCAACUUUCCAAGGUUGACCUCAGAUCAGGUAGGAAUACCCGCUGAACUUAAGCAUAUAAUAAGCGGAGGA
rnacentral:misc_RNA from 1 species